CUGCGGUCGUCAAGGCAACGGGCCGCGAGCCGGCGAGGCCCCGCCCUGCCCCCAAGCCCGGCCCCUUCAGCGAAGCUGGGGCGAGGGACUGAGGGAGCUGAGGGCUCUAGAAUAAAACAACAGGAAAAAAGCUCUCCCAGAAUCUGCUUCCAGACUCCCUCACUUGGACAGAAGCUAGAGGAAGCCUAGUACUGGGGAAAGAGAACCCAGGCUUACUCCCUUUCCACUGUCCCAGAAGCCAACCCCCCACCCCCCGUCCUGUACACAUUCGACACUGGAGCUGUGGAUUCUUCAAACAACGUGGAAGCACCCCAGAACAUAGAGUGAGCUGAGUUCUGCAAAGGAAGGAACGUUCUCUCCAACUAAAGAUGUUGGAAAGGACCCCGGGGACAUUCUGCCAGAAUUUCCCCCUCUUGGACUGACUUUUUUUGUGUAGAAUAACUUUCUCUUCACCCUGUUCUCCUCAUAAAUUCUAAAUUAUUUUCUUCCACUCCUAACUGAAUACGGGAGGAGAAAGGGAAUUUGGUUUUCAAGAUUUGUUCUUCUAGUAUCUAAUUAAGAAGAGAAAGUGAAACAUAAAGCCAGAGAGCUGAAAAUAGCCACGAAAAAGGGCAUGAGCCUGUCUGUCAAUACACACAUGCCGAGCUCCUACCCCCGCAGAGAUCGUGCUCAGCAGAGGCCUUCUGAGAAGCAGGAGAAAAAACGGGAGGCUGUCUUUUCAGAUUUGUGAACAACUCCCUAAGGAGCAAGAAAACACCAUGAGAAACAAGCUCAGCAUUAGGCCCUGGUCGUGGAUGGGGCUGUCAACGGUCUGCCUCUGUCUUUCCAGCGAAGACUGAGGAAAAGAAGUGAAAGUGUUGGCAGUUCCCAA